rnacentral:rRNA from 1 species
CACUAGUGAUUCUGGUUGAUCCUGCCAGUAGUCAUAUGCUUGUCUCAAAGAUUAAGCCAUGCAUGUCUAAGUAUAAGCACUUUGUACUGCGAAACUGCGAAUGGCUCAUUAAAUCAGUUAUAAUUUAUUUGAUAAUACCUUACUACUUGGAUAACCGUGGUAAUUCUAGUGCUAAUACAUGCUUUAAGCCCCGACUUCUGGAAGGGGCGUAUUUAUUAGAUUAAAAACCAAAGCACAACCUUGGUGAAUCAUGAUAACUUUUCGAAUCGCAUGGCUCUGCCGGCGAUGGUUCAAUCAAAUUUCUGCCCUAUCAACUUUCGAUGGUAGUAUAGAGGACUACCAUGGUCGCAACGGGUAACGGAGAAUUAGGGUUCGAUUCCGGAGAGGGAGCCUGAGAAACGGCUACCACAUCCAAGGAAGGCAGCAGGCGCGCAAAUUACCCAAUCCCAACACGGGGAGGUAGUGACAAUAAAUAACAAUACAGAGCUUUUUAAGUUUUGUAAUUGUAAUGAGAACAAUUUAAACCUCUUAUCGAGAACCAAUUGGAGGGCAAGUCUGGU